rnacentral:snRNA from 1 species
GUGCUCGCUUCAGCAGCACAUAGACUAAAAUUCGAAUGAUACAGAGAAGAUUAGCAUUGCAUCUGCGCAUUAAAAAAAAAAUCACAGGUGGGACGAUUUCUU